GGACUCUCAACCACUGCGCCACCAGGGAAGCCCCAUGUGUUUUUAAGAUGGAGAAGUCCUACAAUCUGCCAUCUGUGAGUUGGAGAACCAGGAGAGCCAUGGUGUAAUUCCAUCCAAGUUUGAAGGCUCAAGAACCAGAAGCACUGAUGUCCCAGCUCAAGCAGAGGCAGCAAAUUCACUCUUCCUCUACUGGGGCCCUCAAUGAAUUAGAUGAUGCCUACCCACAUUGCUGGAACUACAUACUUCGUCUAAGGGAAGAACUCUACAAGAAAGGGAAAUUAUGCCCAUAAAUUUGGUGAAAUGUAUCCAGCCAGGAGGUCUUUGGGAAUUCAUCCAUGAGGUUUUUCACUCACUUUCCUCAACACUGCUUAGAGCCAUUUAAGAAUGAUGAAGAAAACUGCAAUUCAUUGUGUGCCUCCGUACGACUGCCAAGUCUGAACAGCAUCAUCAACAGGCUUUUCUUCCUGAAGCUUUGGCUCAGCCAAUUCUAAGUCUCCUAAAGAUUACUUUUUACCCUCAGCCUCUAUCAAGGCAUUUUCACAAACCAAGACCAUUCUCUCUCUGAGAAGCAUUUUGAGAACAGCUGUUAAAGCAAUUUAAAAACUUCCCACCUCAUUUUAUCCUCAGUGCUUGGCACUUGAAAUAGCAAAUAGUUGAUAUUUGAUAAACAUUUUUGCUGAAUGAA